AUGGUCGAAGGCUCUGAUGCGGACAUAUCUAAUCUUAAGUUCCUUCUCCUCUGCUUCCAAAAAAUGCCUGGCCUCAAGAUCAACUUUGACAAGAGUGAUGUGAUGGUGAUGGGCUACUCCCCUGCGGAAUCCCUGCUCAUUGCCAACCGGCUCAACUUCCGCAUGGGUUCCUUCCCCACGACCUACCUGGGAACACCCAUUAGUGACUCGAGGCUCACAGUCGCUGACCUUCAUCCGACUGUGGCCAAGUUACAACCGCGCAUCGAGCCUUGGUAGGGUAGGUGGCUCUCGAAGGUGGCUAGGACGAUCCUCAUGAACUCCUCCCUCUCCAGCCUCCUUUUAUUCCUCAUGAGCUUCUACAGCCUGCACGAGACGCUCCCCCAUGAAAUUGCCAAGAUCCAGUCCCGCUUCUGGGCUGGCGACAAUAAUAAGCAGAAGUACCAUAUGGUCAGUUGGCCGGACAUCUGCAAGCCUUGGGAACAAGGAGGCCUCGGUAUCAUGUGCUCUAAACACAUGAAUAUUUCUCUCCUAUCCCGCUGGCUCUGGCGCAUCUCGCAGGGGCAUGGUGGCCUCUGGUUA
rnacentral:rRNA from 1 species